rnacentral:rRNA from 1 species
GGACUACCGGGGUAUCUAAUCCUGUUUGCUCCCCUUGCUCUCGCGCCUCAGCGUCAGGUCUAAACUAGAAAGCCGCUUUCGCCACCGGUGUUCCUCCACAUAUCUACGCAUUUCACCGCUACACGUGGAAUUCCGCUUUCUCCGUCAAUCCUCUAGAAAGACAGUUUCAAGUGUAGCACCAAAGUUGAGCUUUGGUAUUUCACACCUGACUUAUCAAUCCGCCUACGCGCCCUUUACGCCCAAUAAUUCCGAUUAAUGCUUGCACCCUACGUAUUACCGCGGCGGCUGGCAC